rnacentral:rRNA from 1 species
AUUGAACGCUGGCAGCAUGCCUUACACAUGCAAGUCGAACGGCAGCACGGGAGCAAUCCUGGUGGCGAGUGGCGAACGGGUGAGUAAUAUAUCGGAACGUGCCCAGUCGUGGGGGAUAACGUAGCGAAAGCUACGCUAAUACCGCAUACGAUCUAUGGAUGAAAGCGGGGGAUCGCAAGACCUCGCGCGAUUGGAGCGGCCGAUAUCAGAUUAGCUAGUUGGUGGGGUAAAAGCUCACCAAGGCGACGAUCUGUAGCUGGUCUGAGAGGACGACCAGCCACACUGGAACUGAGACACGGUCCAGACUCCUACGGGAGGCAGCAGUGGGGAAUUUUGGACAAUGGGCGAAAGCCUGAUCCAGCAAUGCCGCGUGCAGGACGAAGGCCUUCGGGUUGUAACUAGCUUUGUACGGUAACGAAAAGUACUAGCCUAACUACGGUGGGCGUCAUGACGGUACCGUAAGAAUAAGACACCGGCUAACUACGUAGCC